GUUUGGUUAGAAGUUUAAAACUAACAGCUUUGAACAAAAAAAUUAUAAACCAAAAAUAAAAUUCUAAGACCCCCAAGUGACUGAUGGGCCCUACCCUCAGCCAAGGGCAUUCCAAAGUUAAUCCAAAAAACUAGUUCAGGACGUACUGCGAAGUGCGGGUCAGACAUGCCUCAUUAUGCCUUCCUCCUUUUAGAAUUCAGGCACAGAUGACCAGCACUAACAUUAAAACAGAGACCUUAAGACUGAUAGAAAAGACUUUUUAAGUCUGAAAAGAAACAUUUACAAUCUAUUCUCUCUGAAGCCUGCUACCUGGAGGCUUCAUCUGCAUGAUAAGGAACUUGGUCUCUACAAUCCCUUAUCUUAACCCAGACACUCUUUUCUAUUGAUUUCAGGUCUUUAGAUAAUAACUCUUUCAACCAAUUGCCAAUAAGGAAAUCUUUGAAUCUGCUUAUGACCUGGAAGGCUCCCCUCCUUCCAGGUGUCCUGCUUUUCUGGAAGGAACCAGUGUAUAUCUUACAUGUAUUGAUUGAUGUCUUAUGUCUUAUGUCUCACUUAUGUCUUAUGUCUCACUUAUGUCUUAUGUCUCACUAAAAUGUAUUGAUGACAUGUAUCUUACAUGUAUUGAUUGAUGUCUUAUGUCUAAAAUGUGUAAAACCGAGCUGUAGCCCAACUACCCUGGGUACAUGUCCUCAGGAUCUUCUGAGUCAUGGAGAGAAGCUGCUGAGCCUCCAAUUCUCUCCUUUCUAGGAGAGCCAGG
rnacentral:lncRNA from 10 species